rnacentral:snRNA from 1 species
GGGUUGGUGAGGGCAAUCUAGUCAACAUCUGUCACUCCAUUGCUUGUUAGGAUUAUUUUAGCCAAUUUGUCUGACUGGGCAGGUGUCCCCUCUCUCCCUCAGUGCUCCAUGUGCAUCCCUCUUGAAGCUUCGCACUCUGUUGAAGAGGACACUCAUCCCAGGUAGAGAGGGGGACGGGAAGUUGGGCCAAUUGAAUCUGUGUCCUUUUCUUUCCAUCAGAUUGAGGUUACUUUUUUCUUCAUUGACAUCCUGAGGUCCAUGACCUUUA